GCCGGGCAUAGUGGUGCACAUCUGUAAUCCCAGCAACUUGGGAGGCUGAGGUAGAAGCAUUGCAAGUUCAAGGCUAGCCUCAGCAACUGGGUGAAGCCUUAAGAAACUUAGUGAGACUCUGUCUCAA
rnacentral:sRNA from 1 species